AUUGAACGCUGGCGGCAGGCCUAACACAUGCAAGUCGAGCGGAUGAAGGGAGCUUGCUCCUGGAUUCAGCGGCGGACGGGUGAGUAAUGCCUAGGAAUCUGCCUGGUAGUGGGGGAUAACGUCCGGAAACGGGCGCUAAUACCGCAUACGUCCUGAGGGAGAAAGUGGGGGAUCUUCGGACCUCACGCUAUCAGAUGAGCCUAGGUCGGAUUAGCUAGUUGGUGGGGUAAAGGCCUACCAAGGCGACGAUCCGUAACUGGUCUGAGAAGAUGAUCAGUCACACUGGAACUGAGACACGGUCCCGACUCCUACGGGAGGCAGCCGUGGGGAAUAUUGGACAAUGGGCGAAAGCCUGAUCCAGCCAUGCCGCGUGUGUGAAGAAGGUCUUCGGAUUGUAAAGCACUUUAAGUUGGGAGGAAGGGCAGUAAGUUAAUACCUUGCUGUUUUGACGUUACCAACAGAAUAAGCACCGGCUAACUUCGUG
rnacentral:rRNA from 1 species